UACCAGCACCCCGAGUGGUCGGGACGUUUAUUGGGCCUAAAGCAUCCGUAGCCGGUUCUACAAGUCUUCCGUUAAAUCCACCUGCUUAACAGAUGGGCUGCGGAAGAUACUAUGGAGCUAGGAGGCGGGAGAGGCAAGCGGUACUCGAUGGGUAGGGGUAAAAUCCGUUGAUCCAUUGAAGACCACCAGUGGCGAAGGCGGCUUGCCAGAACGCGCUCGACGGUGAGGGAUAAAAGCUGGGGGAGCAAACCGG
rnacentral:rRNA from 1 species